rnacentral:SRP_RNA from 1 species
GGAGAGGCUGUCGCGGGCAGGCGAUUCGCCAACCCGGUCAGGUCCGAAAGGAAGCAGCCGCAACGAAAUUCGCGUGUGUCGCUCAGCAGCCUCUCGUUC